rnacentral:misc_RNA from 1 species
AAGUCGUAACAAGGUUUCCGUAGGUGAACCUGCGGAAGGAUCAUUACCAAUCCAAUUUACAUCCUUUCCUGUGAACUAUUGAUUUUGUUAUAAAUAUUUGGGUGGAUUACAAAUAUUUAUUAAAUAUUUAUAACCCACCCAAAUAUUUUGAAUAACAACACCAAAUUAAUACUGUUUUAUGACAUAAUAAUUUUGAUUGUUAAUAUACAAAAACUUUUGAAACAAGGGUUUGUGUAUAUCCUCAAUACAAAUAAAAAUAAAAAAUAAAACAACUUUUAGCGGUGGAUCUCUUGGCUCAU